rnacentral:sRNA from 1 species
GACCACUUUUACGGAAGAUUUCCGUAAAGGUCAAGGCCAUACGGACAGCCGGGUCCACUGCCGA